UACGAAGGGGGCUAGCGUUGUUCGGAUUUACUGGGCGUAAAGCGCACGUAGGCGGAUCGUUAGGUCGGGGGUGAAAUCCUGGGGCUCAACCCCAGAACUGCCUUCGAUACUGGCGAUCUCGAGUCCGGAAGAGGUGAGUGGAACUCCUAGUGUAGAGGUGGAAUUCGUAGAUAUUAGGAAGAACACCAGUGGCGAAGGCGGCUCACUGGUCCGGUACUGACGCUGAGGUGCGAAAGCGUGGGGAGCAAACAGG
rnacentral:rRNA from 1 species